rnacentral:tRNA from 1 species
UCCGGCCUGGUGUAACAGCAGCACAGUGGCCUUUGACGCCGUCGGGCGCUGGGGCAGAACCAGCCGCCGGAGCCA